UCAGUAUAGAGGAGCUCAUAUCAGGAUCAGCUCAGUUCAUAUCAGGAUCAGCUCAGCUCAUAUGAAGGUAUCUCGUUACAACAUAGUCAUAACCCAUAGAGCUGUAAAUCCAAGGCAUCUAUGAUACCACCGUAAUAGAGACUAACCCUCCAGAGACCCUACAUGGCCCACUAAAAUCGACAAGGACUAACCCUUUGAGGACACCGCAUAGCCCACCGAAUCUUAGGGGCUAACUCUUUGAGGACCCCAC
rnacentral:lncRNA from 1 species